rnacentral:lncRNA from 1 species
GGCUGAGCUAGCUAGACCUCAUUGGGCACAUUGACGCAUCAUUUGUUGGUCUCUAUGGUCAGGACAUGCACUUGAAAACUUUACUAGAUGCCAAAGUCAAGAAGCCAGGAGAUGGCAGUUGCUACCCUCCACUCGACAGCACUGCCACUCAGGGAGGUAAGCUGUGGGACCCUGGACCCUGAAAACCAGCUCUGCUCUCAGACCGAGUCUGCCACUUCAGAUUGGUUCUGUGUCGUAGAUGCAGGACAUUUCCAGAAUAUCUCUCCAGGAAGAGCCUUUGAAGCCUGGAUCCCGUAUCUGUUCAGUCUCUGAUCACAACUCUUUGUCCGUACUUCCCCGGUGGCCUUUCUGACUUCUCCUCUCCGUGGCGGUCCUUUUCUUUGUAUGAGUGAGUUCUCUGGUUGGCUCUGAAUUUCUUACCAAUCUCCCAGAUCAUAAUGGGAGUCUUGUUUUCCUGUAUUUUCUUCUUAGCCUCGUCAGCAGAUGGCGGUAUUGCCCCGAAGGCUGGGUUGGCAUCGCUAUCGCCAUCGCCCGCAGACAGAGGGCUCUCAGAGGACUCCAAGUCUUUCCCAGAGACCUGGCUGUGGGAAUUGAUUCCAAUCAGUCCUCUCCAAGGCGCUGCUGCUCCCCCCACACCCAGCAGACCUAACUUAGAUUCUUGGGGAUCAGGGUGAUCCAGGCCACAGUUCCCGGUG